UACGUAGGGUGCAAGCGUUAAUCGGAAUUACUGGGCGUAAAGCGUGCGCAGGCGGUUCGCUAAGACCGAUGUGAAAUCCCCGGGCUUAACCUGGGAACUGCAUUGGUGACUGGCAGGCUUUGAGUGUGGCAGAGGGAGGUAGAAUUCCACGUGUAGCAGUGAAAUGCGUAGAGAUGUGGAGGAAUACCGAUGGCGAAGGCAGCCUCCUGGGCCAACACUGACGCUCGAUGCACGAAAGCGUGGGGAGCAAACAGG
rnacentral:rRNA from 1 species